GGCCCCCUAGCUCAGUGGAUUAGAGCGUGUGAUUCCAGUCACAGCAUAAUGUGAUGCUUUUCAUGAAGCGUCACACUGUGCUGUGGAACUUCCACAAGGUCAUCCGUUCGACUCGGGUGGGGGUCA